ACCAGCACAAACAGGAGCUACUGAUAUUGCGGCUCCUAGUAGUCACACAGCGACAGAACCUGUGAAACCAGGGCCUGACAUUGUUGAGAUUGUGAAGCCGGUAGGCUAUUCUGCUGCAGAAGCCAGCACCAAGCAGGAAGCUUCGGUGACCUUCAAGGUUAAAAGAGAAAAAUAGCGUUUUACACUUCUCGAAAGCUGAUCAAUUACUAUGAGCAGCAUCUGCAGUACAGUUCGAAACCAUCGUGAUCGAAGAGAUUAAUUGAAGGAAGCUUUGAUUUGUUGUUAAUUAUGUUGUGGAUGCUGGACAUAGUAAGGGGAAGAAAAGCUUUGUUUGUUAGUGAUGUUUUUAAGUUUGAUGACUAUUGAUGACUAUUUGAACUGUGUAAUAAUUUGUGGCUAUUUACUUUGAUGUUUGCUGAUGAGGACCUCCACAUUUGAAGUUGGAGGUGGUUUUUAUUGUUUUGGUCAAGAACAUAACAAAACUUUGUUUUGGUUUAAUUUCAAAAUUUCUGGAACUUUUUUA